CCCCCGUGUUAUAAUAAAUUAUCUGAGAACUGAACCAUCCACCUCCUGUGUCUGCAUCUGGGUCAUAUCCUGAGUCGUGAUAGUAAUGAAUGAACAGACAUGAUGCGUGACAUGCGGAACAUCAGGCUCACCCCACGAGAAGCAGUGCAUAAUCAACGCCACCUGUAGCAAGGAGAUCUUCUGGAAGUGAUGUACUCUCUCGCACUCUGGUGACCCUCCCUUGGUUGUAUUCUCUGCCAGAGGUCGUCACAUUGGAUGGAGAUGGUGAAGAUGGCUUUGGUGGUCCACACAACGAAGAAGCAGGUGUCCCUUCCAGUGAUGUGGAGUUGACCUUGGACCUGGUGCCAGUAAGGAUGGUCUUUACGGAGGCUGUAAGACACUCCCUCCUUGAUAUAGAAAUCUUCGACUUCAUUGCCUCUUGAAUGGUCAGGUCCCUUGCACCAUAAUGACACUUGACCUGCACCACUGCUGUGGUGCCCACCAGACCAUCCGGUGAGGCUCCCAGGAUCCAAAGACCCUGUGACCCAAAGCCAUGACUCCUGCACAUCCAUCCCUGUAGACAUUUUGAAUGCCUUAAUGUCCUCCUCUUCGUUAUCUGUGCCCCACUUUAUAGACAACACCACAUCCAACGACUGAACACCUUGAAAUGCAUUCAUUGUAAGAUAUGUGCUAUAUAAAUGAAGUUUGAUUUGAUUGAUGACAUUACAGCUGUACAAUAUUUAAUAAACUGUCAUUUUUACAUGAGGACAAGUUCACUUUUUCCAUGAACAUUUAAUUGAUAACUUGGGAUUUUAUCACUUGACAUAUCAAUCUUAUAGUGGGAAGGAUCCUUUAAGUCUGUGUGAAUGCAUGUACCACUCUGAAUAAAUACAUAUUGUGCCUUUGAA